UACGUAGGGUGCAAGCGUUGUCCGGAAUUAUUGGGCGUAAAGAGCGUGUAGGCGGCCCGAUUAGUCCGCUGUGAAAGUCCAGGGCUCAACCCCGGAAUGCCGGUGGAUACUGUCGGGCUAGAGUCCGGAAGGGGCGAGUGGAAUUCCUGGUGUAGCGGUGAAAUGCGCAGAUAUCAGGAGGAACACCAAUGGCGAAGGCAGCUCGCUGGGACGUGACUGACGCUGAGACGCGAAAGCGUGGGGAGCGAACAGG
rnacentral:rRNA from 1 species